rnacentral:rRNA from 1 species
GAUGAACGCUGGCGGCGUGCCUAAUACAUGCAAGUCGAGCGAACAGACGAGGAGCUUGCUCCUCUGACGUUAGCGGCGGACGGGUGAGUAACACGUGGAUAACCUACCUAUAAGACUGGGAUAACUUCGGGAAACCGGAGCUAAUACCGGAUAAUAUAUUGAACCGCAUGGUUCAAUAGUGAAAGACGGUUUUGCUGUCACUUAUAGAUGGAUCCGCGCCGCAUUAGCUAGUUGGUAAGGUAACGGCUUACCAAGGCAACGAUGCGUAGCCGACCUGAGAGGGUGAUCGGCCACACUGGAACUGAGACACGGUCCAGACUCCUACGGGAGGCAGCAGUAGGGAAUCUUCCGCGAUGGGCGAAAGCCUGACGGAGCAACGCCGCGUGAGUGAUGAAGGUCUUCGGAUCGUAAAACUCUGUUAUUAGGGAAGAACAAAUGUGUAAGUAACUAUGCACGUCUUGACGGUACCUAAUCAGAAAGCCACGGCUAACUACGUG